ensembl:lncRNA
CUGGCAGAAGCUUGCACAGAGGACUUGGGGCAGUCUGGCAGAAGAAAUUCUCAGCGGGAAUACACAGGAGGGGAGUAGGUCCCUGCAAGAAGACCACUGGUAAAGAAAGCUGAGAUGCGAGGACAAGGGUAAAGGCAACCCCCAGCAGGGCGUUUGGCCCCCUCCGCCCCGCACCAUUCUUCCUCUGUUUCUCAGUGUUCUUACCUCAAGAAUAAUCUCAGGAGGCCUCCUAUAAGCCAUCAGUGGCAACGACUGCCAAAAGCCUCUCCCACUUCCAAUCCAGGAGGGAGAAGUAUUGGAACGAACGAUAGCAGCACCUGCAAAUUAAAACACGGGCACAAUGGUCAAGCAAGGCCAGGAGGAAUCAAGGGCUGCUGACUGUUUUCCACGUGGACAGCUGCACAGAGAUGCCGGCUGCCUUUGCAGCUUUGCAAGUAUCAGUAGAUUGUAGAGCCCUGUGCUGACACCAAAAGGCUCCCAGUGUGAUAACACUCAAUUCUCUUAAUUAUAAUGCCUUUCCAUGUACGACAACAAUAGAUGUGAAGGAUACGUGUUUUUUUGUUUUGUUUUUUGUUUUUAUGAUCCCAGUAUUGGCUAUGUAUAGGAGAGAUUUGCUUCUGUCUGGCAGGGACGCUGGUGGACAUUUGCCACAGAUUUGAAACACAGCCCUGCUUUAAUCAAGCUGUGUUCUCUGAAAAACACGAAGCAGUAAAAUUACCACAGGAGGUCACUGUUGUGACACGUAUGCCACAUCUAUAUGACAGUGCUGAGGACCAACAUUCCCCUUUUGAAUAGUGCUUCGUAUGCCUGUUCCUGCUGCUUCAGAAGUCACAGUCACAGACAUCUUGUAUGGUAAAAAGAAGUUGGACAAAUGAAUGCAAUAGCUCUGUUAAGGAAGCACGGACUCUUGGGGAGCCAGGAAGACCAAAACAUUUGAAAUAAAUGCAGAAGAGUCUGCACAAACCUCUGUAAAAGGAUAUGGGAUACUGAGAAUGAAGCAAUACAUUGCUUGGAAGGAUUGCACUAAAAAAUAGUUUGGCUAAUCGAAUCUAGUGCAAGAAAGGAGUUAAAUCACUCUAUACCCCUUCCAAUGACAAUAACUAAAGAGACAUCUCUGGUGUUGUAGUUACUCAUAUUCUGUGAGAUGUACAACUAAAUAUGUUAACCAGUAGGAUUCUUAUUCUUAUUCUUAUUCUUAUUCUUAUUCUCCUUCUCCUGUAUCUCACUAUUAGAAAUGGUUUCUACACUACAGUCAAAAUUCAAUUUUUUUUUUUUUUAAUUACAUCUUUGUUAUCCUUAUUUUUGUUUCUCUUUUUGUGGUGUUAAUCUUCUUGAACCUAUUGUAGAAUAAAGCCAUGGCUUU